AUUGAACGCUGGCGGCAGGCCUAACACAUGCAAGUCGAGCGGGGUUUUCGGACCUAGCGGCGGACGGGUGAGUAAUGCGUAGGAAGCUACCCGGUAGAGGGGGAUACCAGUUGGAAACGACUGUCAAUACCGCAUAAUGUCUACGGACCAAAGUGUGGGACCUUCGGGCCACAUGCUAUCGGAUGCGCCUACGUGGGAUUAGCUAGUUGGUGGGGUAAUGGCUCACCAAGGCGACGAUCCCUAGCUGGUUUGAGAGGAUGAUCAGCCACACUGGAACUGAGACACGGGCCAGACUCCUACGGGAGGCAGCAGUGGGGAAUAUUGGACAAUGGGCGCAAGCCUGAUCCAGCCAUGCCGCGUGUGUGAAGAAGGCCUUCGGGUUGUAAAGCACUUUCAGUAGGGAGGAAGCGUUGUGUGUUAAUAGUACACAGCGUUGACGUUACCUACAGAAGAAGCACCGGCUAACUCUGUGCCAGCCGCCGCGGUAACAC
rnacentral:rRNA from 1 species